GACGAACGCUGGCGGCGUGCUUAACACAUGCAAGUCGAACGGAAAGGCCCUGCUUGCAGGGUACUCGAGUGGCGAACGGGUGAGUAACACGUGGGUGAUCUGCCCUCCACUUCGGGAUAAGCCUGGGAAACUGGGUCUAAUACCGGAUAGGAGCCAUUUUUAGUGUGAUGGUUGGAAAGUUUUUUCGGUGUUGGAUGAGCUCGCGGCCUAUUAGCGUGUUGGUGGGGUAAUGGCGUACCAAGGCGGCGACGGGUAGCCGGACUGAGGGAGUGGACGGCCACACUGGGACUGAGGGACGGCCCAGACGGCGACGGGAGGCAGAAGUGGGGAAUAUUGCACCAUGGGCGCAAGCCGGGUGCAGCGACGCCGCGUGGGGGAAGACGGCCUUCGGGUUGAAAAAUCCUUUCGCUAGGGACGAAGCUUUUUGUGACGGUACCUAGAUAAGAAGCACCGGCUAACUACGUG
rnacentral:rRNA from 1 species